AACGAACGCUGGCGGCAUGCCUAACACAUGCAAGUCGAACGAGACCUUCGGGUCUAGUGGCGCACGGGUGCGUAACGCGUGGGAAUCUGCCCUUGGGUUCGGAAUAACAGUUGGAAACGACUGCUAAUACCGGAUGAUGACGUAAGUCCAAAGAUUUAUCGCCCAAGGAUGAGCCCGCGUAGGAUUAGCUAGUUGGUGAGGUAAAGGCUCACCAAGGCGACGAUCCUUAGCUGGUCUGAGAGGAUGAUCAGCCACACUGGGACUGAGACACGGCCCAGACUCCUACGGGGGGCAGCAGGGGGGAAUAUGGGACAAGGGGCGAAAGCCUGAUCCAGCAAGGCCGGGGGAGUGAUGAAGGCCUUAGGGUUGAAAAGCUUUUUUCCCCGGGAUGAUAAUGACGGUACCGGGAAAAUAAGCCCCGGCUAACCCCGU
rnacentral:rRNA from 1 species